GGGAUCCAUAGGGAAUGGAUCCAUAGGGAUCCAUAGGGAAUGGAUCUAUAGGGGUGGGGUUAUGGGAUCCAUAGGGAAUGGAUCUAUAGGGAUCCAUAGGGAAUGGAUCCAUAGGGGUGGGGUUAUGGGAUCCAUAGGGAAUGGAUCCAUAGGGAUGGGGCUGUGGGAUCCAUAGGGAUCCAUAGGGAAUGGGUCUCUGGAUCCUGCCCCAGAUGCCCUCUUGGCUGACCUGGAGAGCACAGCCUCACACCUGAGCCUGGAGCCUGAUCCGCAUAGGAAGGUGCCUGGAGGUGACACUGAGCAGCUCUAUAGCACGGUGCAGAAGCCUCGGCCGCCCCCCCCCGGCCUUGGGGAGCUGGAUCGGCUCCUGCGGGACCUGAAUGCGACACAGAACAGCAUCACAGGUACCGAAAACACCCGAAAUCACCCCAAAAACAGCCAAAAACACCCCAAAAACAGCCAAAAACACCCCAAAAACAGCCAAAAUCACCCCAAAAACACCUGAAAUCACCCCAAAAACACCUGAGAUCACCCCAAAAACACCCGAAAUCACCCCAAAAACACCCGAAAUCAUCCCAAAAACAGCCGAAAUCACCCCAAAAACACCCGAAAUCAUCCCAAAAACACCCGAAAUCACCCCAAAACACCCCAAAAUAACCCAAAAACACCCGAAAUCACCCCAAAAACAGCCAAAAUCAUCCCCAAAACACCCAAAAACACCUGAAAUCACCCCAAAAACACCCGAAAUCACCCCUAAAACACCCGAAAUCACCCCAAAAACACCCGAAAUCACCCCAAAACACCCCAAAAUCACCCCAAAAUCACCCGAAAUCACCCCAAAAACACCCCAAAAUCACCCAAAACCACCCGAAAUCACCCAAAAACACCCCCAAAACACCCAAAAUCACCUGAAAUCACCCCCAAAACACCCAAAAAACACACCCAAAACACCCAAAAACAGCCCCAAAACACCCAAAAUCACCCAAAAUCACCCCAAAACACCCCAAAAACACCCCAAAAUCACCCGAAAACACCCGAAAUCACCCCAAAACCACCCCAAAAUGCCCCAAAUUGAACCAAAAUGGCCCCAACCAACCCCCAAUCCCCUCAAGCAGCCCCAAAAGGACCCAGAAUGGCCCCAAAGGGCCCAAAAUGACCCCAAAAAGCAGAGCAAGGACCCAAAAUCCCCUUUAUUCACCCCAAAACCCCCCUCAGAUGAGCUCCUGGCCCAGAAGCCUCCCAAGGACCCAGGUGCCCCAUUGGCUACUAGCGAGGAUGGAGCAGGGCCUGCACCCCCCCCCAGCACCCCCUCUGCAGCCACCCAGGAGCUGGAUGCGCUCAUGGCCUCCCUGUCCCUGUUCCACCUCCAGCACCAGCGCCCCCCAAGUGUGGGGCAGGACCUGGAGUCGCUGCUGAGGCUGCUGCAGAGGGACCUGGACAAGCAGGGGGUGCCCAUGGGGGACAGGGGACCCUGCGGGGGCUGCCUGAAGCCCAUUGAGGGGCAGGUAAUGGGGGGCAAUGGGAUCAAUGGGUGUGAAUGGGAUCAAUGGGUGUGA
ensembl:lncRNA